GGGCAGGUGGCAGAGCGGUCGAAUGCUCCGGUCUUGAAAACCGGCAGACCCUCACGGGUCUCGUGGGUUCGAAUCCCACCCUGCCCG
rnacentral:tRNA from 1 species